rnacentral:rRNA from 1 species
GACGAACGCUGGCGGCGUGCCUAAUACAUGCAAGUAGAACGCACAGUUUAUACCGUGGCUUGCUACACCAUAGACUGUGAGUUGCGAACGGGUGAGCAACGCGUAGGUAACCUGCCUGGUAGCGGGGGAUAACUAUUGGAAACGAUAGCUAAUACCGCAUAAUAUUAAUUAUUGCAUGAUAAUUAAUUGAAAGGUGCAAUUGCACCACUACCAGAUGGACCUGCGUUGUAUUAGCUAGUAGGUGAGGUAACGGCUCACCUAGGCGACGAUACAUAGCCGACCUGAGAGGGUGAUCGGCCACACUGGGACUGAGACACGGCCCAGACUCCUACGGGAGGCAGCAGUAGGGAAUCUUCGGCAAUGGACGAAAGUCUGACCGAGCAACGCCGCGUGAGUGAAGAAGGUUUUCGGAUCGUAAAGCUCUGUUGUAAGAGAAGAACGGGUGUGAGAGUGGAAAGUUCACACUGUGACGGUAUCUUACCAGAAAGGGACGGCUAACUACGUG